rnacentral:rRNA from 1 species
ACGUAGGGUGCGAGCGUUAAUCGGAAUUACUGGGCGUAAAGCGUGCGCAGGCGGUUAGCUAAGACAGGUGUGAAAUCCCCGGGCUUAACCUGGGAAUGGCGCUUGUGACUGGCGGGCUAGAGUACGGCAGAGGGGGGUGGAAUUUCCAGUGUAGCGGUGAAAUGCGUAGAUAUGUGGAGGAACACCGAUGGCGAAGGCAGCCACCUGGACCGAUACUGACGCUCAUGCACGAAAGCGUGGGGAGCAAACAG